rnacentral:rRNA from 1 species
UACGAAGGGGGCUAGCGUUGCUCGGAAUUACUGGGCGUAAAGGGCGCGUAGGCGGAUAGUUUAGUCAGAGGUGAAAGCCCAGGGCUCAACCCUGGAAUUGCCUUCGAUACUGGAGAUCUUGAGACCGGAAGAGGUAAGUGGAACUGCGAGUGUAGAGGUGAAAUUCGUAGAUAUUCGCAAGAACACCAGUGGCGAAGGCGGCUUACUGGUCCGGUUCUGACGCUGAGGCGCGAAAGCGUGGGGAGCAAACAGG